ACUUAAAUAGCUUAAGAUAGAGCGUAAUAUUGAAGAUAUUAAGAUGAUAGUGUUAUCUUUAGGUA
rnacentral:tRNA from 1 species